AGCCGCGGUAAUACGGAGGAUCCGAGCGUUAUCCGGAUUUAUUGGGUUUAAAGGGAGCGUAGGCGGACGCUUAAGUCAGUUGUGAAAGUUUGCGGCUCAACCGUAAAAUUGCAGUUGAUACUGGGUGUCUUGAGUACAGUAGAGGCAGGCGGAAUUCGUGGUGUAGCGGUGAAAUGCUUAGAUAUCACGAAGAACUCCGAUUGCGAAGGCAGCUUGCUGGACUGUAACUGACGCUGAUGCUCGAAAGUGUGGGUAUCAAACAGGAUUAGAUACCCUGGUAGUCCACACAGUAAACGAUGAAUACUCGCUGUUUGCGAUAUACAGUAAGCGGCCAAGCGAAAGCGUUAAGUAUUCCACCUGGGGAGUACGCCGGCAACGGUGAAACUCAAAGGAAUUGACGGGGGCCCGCACAAGCGGAGGAACAUGUGGUUUAAUUCGAUGAUACGCGAGGAACCUUACCCGGGCUUAAAUUGCAACUGAAUAUAUUGGAAACAGUAUAGCCGUAAGGCUGUUGUGAAGGUGCUGCAUGGUUGUCGUCAGCUCGUGCCGUGAGGUGUCGGCUUAAGUGCCAUAACGAGCGCAACCCUUAUCUUUAGUUACUAACAGGUCAUGCUGAGGACUCUAGAGAGACUGCCGUCGUAAGAUGUGAGGAAGGUGGGGAUGACGUCAAAUCAGCACGGCCCUUACGUCCGGGGCUACACACGUGUUACAAUGGGGGGUACAGAAGGCAGCUACACGGCGACGUGAUGCUAAUCCCAAAAACCUCUCUCAGUUCGGAUCGAAGUCUGCAACCCGACUUCGUGAAGCUGGAUUCGCUAGUAAUCGCGCAUCAGCCAUGGCGCGGUGAAUACGUUCCCGGGCCUUGUACACACCGCCCGUCAAGCCAUGGGAGUUGGGGGUACCUAAAGUCCGUAACCGCAAGGAUCGGCCUAGGGUAAAACCGAUGACUGGGGCUAAGUCGUAACAAGGUAGCCGUACCGGAAGGUGCGGCUG
rnacentral:rRNA from 1 species